AGUGAUGUGAAUCACAGGAGACUGAUGCUGCUUCUCCUUAUGUGACGCUUCAGAGACUCAGAAACAUCACCAGGACUUGGCUAAUGCCACCCAAAGGUAACUCUGCAGCACUUGCCUACUGUCUGUGGUUGAACUCCCUCCUGGAUCUUCCACCAUCACUGAGACGGGAAGAAAGCACAGAUGGCUUCCUCCCGCUCUCUGGACUCUCCACAACACUACUUCACAGGCCAUUAUAUGCUGCCAUAUGACAACUAAGACUAUACAAGCAAUUAUUUUCCAGAAGGCACAGAUGUUGUUUGUUUCAUCUGAGAACCCAAGUCCUUAUUGGUCCCACUUUCAAGGUCCAUUU